rnacentral:rRNA from 1 species
AUGAAGCCUGGCGACGUAUCUGGGCAUUGGUGCUUGAUUGUUCUGAAUUUGAGGUUCCAUCGUUUAGAGUGUCUUGAUUCACUGCGCAAUGAAACUUGGAGUGAUGCAGUUAGAUUCUUAAGGACUAUGACAGAUAACAUAAAGAAGCUUUGGAGGGAGUCCAACGUAGACAGGGCCAAAACGUUCUCGCCGGUGCAUAUUGAUGGUUUGCCUUGCGAGUUUGUCUGCAUGACCUAUCAUUGCCGGGAGGAUGGUGUGAUUGAAAUGUUGGAUUACAGCCACGAAGACAUUCUCGACAUUAGGAAGACUUUUCUGUAUACUUGCGCAACUAGCGAUGUGUUUGAUGUUUACAUAAUGCGUGAGUGGCUGGAUCUUGAUGAGCAUGACUACAGGAUCUUUGGUAGCUAG